UGGCUUGCCAGGGGCAACAGAAAGGGCAGAAGCAGGACACUGGCAUGUCAUUUCCCCCCUUCCCCCCCCAAAUCCUCUUUUUUGGACCUAGAAAUAUGGUAAGCCUAAAUUACAUGGUACCAGGAGUGGGGUCCAAAGAAAGUGAAGGGGAAGAUAAGAAACUGCUGAAGAAAUGGAGCAUCUGAAACCCCCCAAAGAGCUGAAACUGUCAGAUAAAGCUGCUGAAUCAUGGAAAAAAAACAAGGUUGGACAUAUACAUGUAAGCAAUGGGGAAUGCAGCAAAGGAAGAUGCGCAGGUAAUAGCUGUAUUCCUGAAUACAGCUGGACCUGAGGCUGUUGAUAUCUUUAAUAGCAUUCAGCUAAACCAGGAUGAGAGGAAAAGCUAUGUGACUGCCUCACAGGAAUUUGCAGAAUACUGCACACCAAAAACAAGUGGGACAUUUGAGAGAUACAAGUUCCACAAAACAGUGCAAAAAGAGGAUGAAUCUUCUGAGGAAUUUCUAACAGACCUGAAGCUGAUGAGCCAGGACUGCAACUUCAGGCAGCUGAGUCUAUCAUACAGGAUCAGAUAGUAAUAGGCAUUGGAGAUUUGAAACUGCAGAAAAAAACUCUUGAAGGAUGUGAGUUUGACUUUAGACAAAGCAGUGAUAGUGUGCCAGGCAGCAGAAGUUACUCUCCAUAGUCUACAAAUAAUGGAGGGAAAAUCAGAAACGGCUACAGUAGACCAAGCAAACAGCAAGCAAAGGGACAAUCAAGGUGAAAGCAGGCAAGGAGAGCAGGAAGAUUCAUAGACAGCCCAAGGAAUGAGGUUAUAGGUGAAAAAGCACCACAUUGCAAGAAAUGUGGAGUCACAUGCCCAAACAGGCAAUGCCCUGCACUAGGAAAAUUGUAUAAUACAUGCAAGCGAUAUAACCAUUUUGCCAGAGUCUGCACCCAGGAGCAGCAAACACACAGAGAAGUCAAAGAAUGCAAACUAAUGCAGUAUAUCAAGACAAUGCUGAUGAAAGCACUGAGGAGUAAUUCUAUGUGGGGACUGUGACUGCAGAGACAGGAGAUGACUGGGCUGUUGCACUGGGAACUAAUGGAAGGGUCAUUAACUACAAAAUGGACACAGGUACACAGCUUCCCUUGACUUCAUCAGAAGCUCGCAGUACUCGGGGUCACAAGUCAAGCGCACUGAAACUGAGAACUGCAAGUUAGUGACCAUCUGUGAAAAACGCGUUUUCAUUGACUUCCCAAGAAUCACAAUGGAGACUCUGUGACAGACCAAGGAUAGUUCUCCAAGGCAACCUUCACCUUAUCUAACCUGAGGGCCAACUCUUUUCUUUCUGUGAUCCCAUGCCUCAUUCACUACACACAUUCUAAGUUAUGCUAUAAAUGAUGCCAGAUAACUACGGAAAACAACUGCUUUUCUACACAACUGACUCAUCCCCAGAGCACUGUCUGUACCAUGAGAUGAAUGAAGCAGGGAUCCUGUUAAAAAAAUAGCUUGCAAUCAUGUAAUUAAAGACUGUAUCAUAAUA